GUCCACGCCGUAAACGAUGUCGACUUGGAGGUUGUGCCCUUGAGGCGUGGCUUCCGAUAACGCGUUAAGUCGACCGCACCGGGAGUACGGCCGCAAGGUUAAAACUCAAAUGGUGGGGGCCCGCACAAGCGGUGGAGCAUGUGGUUUAAUUCGAUGCAACGCGAAGAACCUUACCUACUCGACAUCCAGAGAACUUUCCAGAGAUGGAUUGGUGCCUUCGGGAACUCUGAGACAGGUGCUGCAUGGCUGUCGUCAGCUCGUGUUGUGAAAUGUUGGGUUAAGUCCCGCAACGAGCGCAACCCUUAUCCUUUGUUGCCAGCGGUUAGGCCGGGAACUCAAAGGAGACUGCCAGUGAUAAACUGGAGGAAGGUGGGGAUGACGUCAAGUCAUCAUGGCCCUUACGAGUAGGGCUACACGUGCUACAAUGGCGCAUACAAAGAGAAGCGACCUCGCGAGAGCAAGCGGACCUCAUAAAGUGCGUCGUAGUCCGGAUUGAGUCUGCAACUCGACUCCAUGAAGUCGGAAUCGCUAGUAAUCGUGGAUCAGAAUGCCACGGUGAAUACGUUCCGGGCCUUGUACACACCGCCCGUCACACCAUGGGAGUGGGUUGCAAAAGAAGUAGGUAGCUUAACCUUCGGGAGGGCGCUUACCACUUUGUGAUUCAUGACUGGGGUGAAGUCGUAACAAGGUAACCGUAGGGGAACCUGCGGUUGGAUCACCUCCUUACCUUAAAGAA
rnacentral:rRNA from 1 species